rnacentral:rRNA from 1 species
GACGAACGCUGGCGGCGUGCCUAAUACAUGCAAGUCGAGCGAACCAAUUGAAAGCCUAGCUUUCAUGAGGUUAGCGGCGGACGGGUGAGUAACACGUGGGUAACCUGCCCUAUAGACUGGGAUAACUCGCGGAAACGCGUGCUAAUACCGGAUAAYACAUCAAAGUGCAUGCUUUGAUGUUGAAAGAUGGUUCUGCUAUCACUAUAGGAUGGGCCCGCGGCGCAUUAGCUUGUUGGUGGGGUAACGGCCUACCAAGGCGACGAUG